ensembl:lncRNA
CAAACCCAGAGCUUCUUGCGUGAAAAAGAUUAGAUAUCCUUGAGAAAGUACACUGCAAUGCCAUCACAAGAGGAAGACGGAAGAGAAAUGCAUCAGAAGGGAAAAUCAGAGAGAUUCAUGGUGGGUUCAUCAACCAUUGCUGGCUUUGAAGAUGAAGGGAAUCAAGAGCCAGAGAAUGCAGGUGGCCUCUGGAAGCUGAGAGUGACCCCCGGAUGAAAGCCAGCAAGCAAAUGGGGACCUCAGUCCAAUAAAUGUGUGGAACUAAAUUCUACCAACGACCAGAUUGAGCCUGGAAGCAACAGCUCGAUUUUAGCCUGAUGAGACCCCUGGUUGGAAUUCUAACUUACUGAACUGAGAUAAUAAAUGGGCGUUGUUUUAAGCCUCUAAAUAUGUAGUAAUUUGUUACAUCAGCAAGAGAAAACUGAUACUGAUACCCAGAACAUUUUUGUGGUUCACCAGUCACGGUGAGCUUAAGGGGAGUUGAAGUCAGGUGAUACACGGAAUUUUGGCUCAAGACCAUGUCACAAUGGGCCUAUUAGAUGUGAAAACACAGCCUUCCCACUGUUCAUCCUAUUUCCUAAGUAUAUUAUUAGAUUAGACAUACUCAGCUAAUUUCCAAAAUGGUAUGAAGACUAGCAUGGAAGAAGAGUCUAGAGCCUACCAAAUUAUAAGCUGAAGAAAUGCUAUAUCCCUGGGAAGUCAUAGAGAUGAGAUGCACUAUCAAAACCUUGAAAGAUACAGGAACACAUGGAAAUUCAUACAAAAUCUGUUAAAGGAUAAUGCGAUUGAUUUUUGCAAUAUUCUGAUUGUGGCAUUCUGAUUUGCAAUAUUCUGUGUGCACUGACUUCUCUCUAUAGUGAGAUAAUGAAGCAUAAAGAGGACUUGGGGGAAAAUCACAGAGCUGAAGCUGUGGGCAACAUUGCCUCGGAAAGGAUGCCCACAUUCUCCACUCCCUUCCUCCUCCAGACACGUUCCUCUUCACGCCUAUCUAAGGUCAAAAUUCUAUUAGUAUUUUUCCUGCUGAACCCAGCUGUAUCCAUAGCUCACUCUCAACGAAGUGUUCUAGCCUCGAAGGUGUAUAGGGACCAUAGUGACCCUGCCCCCAAAGCAACAACAAGAAAAAUAAAGACAAAAUAUAUGGAAUAGGUUUUUGAGAUCCUGGACAUCAGGGAACACGAGACAGUGGUCUCUCAGGGACAGGAAACAAAUGAGCCAUGCUGCCCUUCCCCAGGAAAGGAGGAAGACAAAUGCCGCUGUCUGAGAAAGGAAAUUGAAAAGUGCUGUGGGAGGAGAGGGGAGACAGGAAAGUGUAAGUUCCAGAUGCCAUAGGACACUUUUGUAUCAGUACUUCUGUGUCUUUCAUCUUUUGCCUUGAUGCUGGAAAAUAUCUGCAAUCAAGCAGGUCGUGAUCUGUCAUUGGCCUCUGUCACUUAAUAAUCUCUUGCUCCAAAAUGAGUUAGAUCUCUUAUGGAAAGACUGGACUGCCUUGAUUCGUUAUGAAUGAAUGCUCCCACCCUCUGGAAGUGAUGAGUUUGGUCCAUGUGCUUUGAGCUGUCACCCACUCUAAAUGAUUACGGAUCUGUUAUAUAGCAGAAAUCUGUUAUUACCCAAGAUCCACAAAGACAUUCUGAAAUGAGAGGGGCUGCGGGAGGGCUGGACCCCACCUAUGAAGUCAUCCUCUGGGCCAGAGCGAAUGGCUCGGGAAUGGACCCAUAACCUAACUCAGGCCACUGAGUUCUUUGUGAGGUGUUUCAACCACUAGGUUUCCAGGAGAUACACUGUUGUUAUAUAAACUGGAUCCUAUGCAUGGACUGGAGAAACAACUGGUAAACAAG